rnacentral:rRNA from 1 species
AUUGAACGCUGGCGGCAUGCCUUACACAUGCAAGUCGAACGGUAACAGGUCUUCGGAUGCUGACGAGUGGCGAACGGGUGAGUAAUACAUCGGAACGUGCCCGAUCGUGGGGGAUAACGGAGCGAAAGCUUUGCUAAUACCGCAUACGAUCUACGGAUGAAAGCAGGGGACCGCAAGGCCUUGCGCGGACGGAGCGGCCGAUAGCAGAUUAGGUAGUUGGUGGGAUAAAAGCUUACCAAGACGACGAUCUGUAGCUGGUCUGAGAGGACGACCAGCCACACUGGGACUGAGACACGGCCCAGACUCCUACGGGAGGCAGCAGUGGGGAAUUUUGGACAAUGGGCGAAAGCCUGAUCCAGCCAUGCCGCGUGCAGGAUGAAGGCCUUCGGGUUGUAAACUGCUUUUGUACGGAACGAAAAGCCUCUUUCUAAUAAAGAGAGGUCAUGACGGUACCGUAAGAAUAAGCACCGGCUAACUACGUGCCAGCAGCCGCCGUAA